UACGUAGGUGGCAAGCGUUGUCCGGAUUUACUGGGCGUAAAGAGCGCGCAGGCGGUCGUGCAAGUCGCGUGUGAAAGCCCCCGGCUCAACUGGGGAGGGUCACGCGAUACUGCUCGACUCGAAGGCAGGAGAGGGAAGUGGAAUUCCCGGUGUAGUGGUGAAAUGCGUAGAUAUCGAGAGGAACACCAGAGGUGAAGACGGGUUGCUGGGCUGACACUGACGCUGAGGCGCGAAAGCCAGGGGAGCAAACGGG
rnacentral:rRNA from 1 species